rnacentral:rRNA from 1 species
UACGGAGGGAGCUAGCGUUGUUCGGAAUUACUGGGCGUAAAGCGCACGUAGGCGGCUUUGUAAGUUAGAGGUGAAAGCCCGGGGCUCAACUCCGGAACUGCCUUUAAGACUGCAUCGCUUGAAUCCAGGAGAGGUGAGUGGAAUUCCGAGUGUAGAGGUGAAAUUCGCAGAUAUUCGGAAGAACACCAGUGGCGAAGGCGGCUCACUGGACUGGUAUUGACGCUGAGGUGCGAAAGCGUGGGGAGCAAACAGG